UAUUGGUCUCUAUUGCUUAGUAGAUGGUGUAGCUUGAUUAGAAAAUUUAUUUUUUGAUGUUUCUUUAAUAGGUCACUCUGAAUGUGUUAGUUUUGUAAAAAGAUUCAAUUUGACGUUGUUGGUCACUGGAGGUGGGGGAUACACAAAAGAAAAUGUUGCUCGAUGGUGGACUGUUGAAAUAGGACUUCUUCUAGAUGCAGAGCUUGAAUUAUGGCAUGUUAUACCAAGAUUUUAUUUUCUUUCAUUAAUGGGAUUGGAUAUUUAUUACUACUUUGCAAUAAUAAAUAUAUAGAUCAAUUGCUAAUUUCCCUUUGACAAUGGCCUUCCCUGCUUAUAUGUCAUUCCAGUGAUGUCUUGGAUUUGGCUUGAUCUAAUUCAGAUAUUUUCCGUUCAUCUUCUAUGGAUAAAACUGCUCGCUUGUGGAAAAUUGAUUGUAGUCAAUGUGCUCCAUUGAUGGUAAGGUUCGAAUAUAGGGAUACAUGAAGAGCGAAUCAUUGACUCUGCAAAUAUACGAGAUCGCAUAAGUGUUAUAAGUUACAAAGAAGAUGGGAAAGAAUGUCAUGAAUUCUUGACGGAAUCUUUUCUUGGCUUUGGGUAUCAUUACAUAUUUUGACACUGGAAAUUCAUGUCUAUGAGAUUGAUGAACCAUUGGUCAUUUACACAUGCAGGGAUUUUUAGUUGGUUCUGUUACAGACACUUAUGGUUUUUAUGUUGCUUCAGGUACGUACCUUUUGAGUUACC